GACAAUUGUCACAGAACCAUCCUGAAGUUCAUUAAUGAAACAGAAGCUUCUUCAGACAGUCAGCAAAAUUCCCAGCAUUUAAUGGCACCACUACUGAGCUCUCUGGAUCUUGAGAUGUGGCAUGUGUCUGGAAGCCCCAUAAACUAGGCCGCGGCUCUGUUGUGGAAACAACGUCCGUCAGUCUAAAUGCGAGGUACCUCUUGUCUCUGGCCCCAGACCAUGGCUGCCCCAGAGUUGUGGAUGGUGGUCAGUUCCGGCUGGGGGUUCUUGGGGAAGAGAAGAGGCUGCUGGCACCGCCUCAACGGGGCCGAGGGCUCCCCGCACAGGGUCCCUGCGGCUGCCCCAGCUGGGAAGGGAAGAGACAGAUGGACAGCGCAAGCACCUUAAUAAAAGACUGACAAGAAAUUGCAAUAAGUACUAAUA